UACGUAGGGUGCGAGCGUUAAUCGGAAUUACUGGGCGUAAAGCGUGCGCAGGCGGUUUUGUAAGUCAGAUGUGAAAUCCCCGGGCUUAACCUGGGAAUGGCAUUUGGGACUGCAAGGCUCGAGUGCGGCAGAGGAGACUGGAAUUCCUGGUGUAGCAGUGAAAUGCGUAGAUAUCAGGAGGAACACCGAUGGCGGAGGCAGGUCUCUGGGCUGACACUGACGCUCAUGCACGAAAGCGUGGGGAGCAAACAGG
rnacentral:rRNA from 1 species